rnacentral:rRNA from 1 species
UAAGAGGGAAGAGCAGAAGACGGUACCUCUUGAAUAAGCCACGGCUAACUACGUGCCAGCAGCCGCGGUAAUACGUAGGUGGCAAGCGUUGUCCGGAAUUACUGGGUGUAAAGGGAGCGCAGGCGGGAAGACAAGUUGGAAGUGAAAUCUAUGGGCUCAACCCAUAAACUGCUUUCAAAACUGUUUUUCUUGAGUAGUGCAGAGGUAGGCGGAAUUCCCGGUGUAGCGGUGGAAUGCGUAGAUAUCGGGAGGAACACCAGUGGCGAAGGCGGCCUACUGGGCACCAACUGACGCUGAGGCUCGAAAGUGUGGGUAGCAAACAGGAUUAGAUACCCUGGUAGUCCACACCGUAAACGAUGAUUACUAGGUGUUGGAGGAUUGACCCCUUCAGUGCCGCAGUUAACACAAUAAGUAAUCCACCUGGGGAGUACGACCGCAAGGUUGAAACUCAAAGGAAUUGACGGGGGCCCGCACAAGCAGUGGAGUAUGUGGUUUAAUUCGACGCAACGCGAAGAACCUUACCAAGUCUUGACAUCCUGCGACGCACAUAGAAAUAUGUGUUUCCUUCGGGACGCAGAGACAGGUGGUGCAUGGUUGUCGUCAGCUCGUGUCGUGAGAUGUUGGGUUAAGUCCCGCAACGAGCGCAACCCCUAUUCUUAGUAGCCAGCGGUUCGGCCGGGCACUCUAGGGAGACUGCCAGGGAUAACCUGGAGGAAGGUGGGGAUGACGUCAAAUCAUCAUGCCCCUUAUGAUUUGGGCUACACACGUGCUACAAUGGCGUAAACAAAGGGAAGCGAAAAGGUGACUUCUAGCAAAUCCCAAAAAUAACGUCCCAGUUCGGACUGUAGUCUGCAACCCGACUACACGAAGCUGGAAUCGCUAGUAAUCGCAGAUCAGAAUGCUGCGGUGAAUACGUUCCCGGGUCUUGUACACACCGCCCGUCACACCAUGGGAGUCGGGAAUGCCCGAAGCCGGUGACUCAACCGAAAGGAGAGAGCCGUCGAAGGCAGGUCUGAUAACUGGGGUGAAGUCGUAACAAGGUAGCCGUAUCGGAAGGUGCGGCUG